CACUCCUGCGGGAGGCAGCAGUGGGGAAUAUUGCACAAUGGGCGCAAGCCUGAUGCAGCCAUGCCGCGUGUAUGAAGAAGGCCUUCGGGUUGUAAAGUACUUUCAGCGGGGAGGAAGGCAAUACGGUUAAUAACCGUGUUGAUUGACGUUACCCGCAGAAGAAGCACCGGCUAACUCCGUGCCAGCAGCCGCGGUAAUACGGAGGGUGCAAGCGUUAAUCGGAAUUACUGGGCGUAAAGCGCACGCAGGCGGUCUGUCAAGUCGGAUGUGAAAUCCCCGGGCUCAACCUGGGAACUGCAUUCGAAACUGGCAGGCUUGAGUCUUGUAGAGGGGGGUAGAAUUCCAGGUGUAGCGGUGAAAUGCGUAGAGAUCUGGAGGAAUACCGGUGGCGAAGGCGGCCCCCUGGACAAAGACUGACGCUCAGGUGCGAAAGCGUGGGGAGCAAACAGGAUUAGAUACCCCUGUAGUCCCA
rnacentral:rRNA from 1 species